rfam:Trypanosoma theileri isolate Edinburgh TM35_Tth_2_V1, whole genome shotgun sequence.
AGCACAGAAUUACAAGCCAGUACUGGCCAACUAAUGCCUUGCUGGUGCCGACACUGUGCAAGA